UACAGAGGUCCCAAGCGUUGUUCGGAUUCACUGGGCGUAAAGGGUGCGUAGGCGGUCGGGUAAGUCUGGCGUGAAAUCUCCAAGCCUAACUUGGAAACUGCGUUGGAUACUAUCCGGCUCGAGGAAUGGAGGGGAGACUGGAAUACUUGGUGUAGCAGUGAAAUGCGUAGAUAUCAAGUGGAACACCAGUGGCGAAGGCGAGUCUCUGGACCGAUACUGACGCUGAGGAGCGAAAGCGUGGGGAGCGAACAGG
rnacentral:rRNA from 1 species